UACGGAGGGUGCAAGCGUUGUCCGGAUUUAUUGGGUUUAAAGGGUGCGUAGGCGGCCAUUUAAGUCUGGGGUGAAAGCCCGUUGCUCAACAACGGAACUGCCCUGGAAACUGGAUGGCUUGAGUACAGACGAGGGUGGCGGAAUGGAUGCUGUAGCGGUGAAAUGCGUAGAGAUCGGGAGGAACACCAGUGGCGAAGGCGGCUACCUGGACCAGCACUGACACUGAGGCACGAAAGCGUGGGGAGCAAACAGG
rnacentral:rRNA from 1 species